rnacentral:rRNA from 1 species
UCGAGAAUUUUUCACAAUGGGGGAAACCCUGAUGGAGCGACGCCGCGUGGGGGAUGAAUGGCUUCGGCCCGUAAACCCCUGUCAUUUGCGAUCAAAGCGCAUUAUUUAAAAGAUGAUGUGUUGAUAGUAGCGGAAGAGGAAGGGACGGCUAACUCUGUGCCAGCAGCCGCGGUAAUACAGAGGUCCCGAGCGUUGUUCGGAUUCACUGGGCGUAAAGGGUGCGUAGGUGGUGGGGUAAGUCGGAUGUGAAAUCUCGGAGCUUAACUCCGAAACGGCAUUGGAAACUGCCCUGCUUGAGGGUUGGAGGGGGGACUGGAAUACUUGGUGUAGCAGUGAAAUGCGUAGAUAUCAAGUGGAACACCGGUGGCGAAGGCGAGUCCCUGGACAACACCUGACACUG